AGAGGGAGGGAGGCUGCGGACGAGGGCGGGGAGGAGUUUGCGAUGGGAGGCGCCUGCAGGGGCUCCCCCAGUUCUGCGCUGUGAGCCGGGGCACAAAGAGCCCUCUGCACUGGAGCCGCAGGACCGCGGACCCGAGGAGAUCAGUUCUGGCAAAUGCUGUGAUUUCAGAACACAGGCUGGCAUCUACUCUCCAGCGCACCCACGGCUACAUUUCCCACCCCAUCUUUCCUCCUCUCUCUCGAUGACAGCUGGAGGCAUCUCCCCACCCACCCGUGUGGUUCCGGACACAUUCACGUGGCCGCCGUGACCCUUCCAACAUCAACGGAGUAACCGAGAGUGCAAGCAAGUUCCUGAGACAGAGGAGAAGGAAGGGAAUUUCCGGGCUCUUCGGGAUGUUCAGGACCACACUGGGAAGCAGCCUUGCAGAUAAGUAUUCAAACUUCCCAGCCCACAGCCUACCAGCCUGCCCUCUCCUGGUCCGUGGAGCAAAGUACAGCAUCCCUGAAUCCCUAAGUCCAGGGAGAAAUCAGUGCUCCAGCUCAUUUGCUUUCCUAUCCCUAAGAUACAAAGAAAAAGCUUGUCCCCAUUUUAUGGGGCCCCAGAGAGUAAUUUUCCUACCCCACUUAUGACAUCAAGGGCUAGUGUUUUACAAACUCCACCCUCAGGGACUUCUGAGGAGCUGAGUUUGGUAACUUCAUCUUGAGCACCUGUAGAUCUGGUGUCAGGAGGAGACUGGGGCCUCCCGGGGAUUUGGGCUGGCCCUUCCCUUCUUGGUUCUCGUCCUUUGUCGUCAUGUUUAUAACACUUGGCUAGGGCUCCUUUUCUUGCCUGGCAGUCAAGUGGGGACCUUGGCGCUGUGACCCCAGGGCACAUGCUUCUUGGUUUAAGGGUCUGAGUACAUCUCCAGCUCUGGGCCCGGGCCCUCAAGUCCAAGUGCUGACAGCAAGCUCUGAGAAUACAGUGGAAGGGCCCAGGCCUGCCAGCGGAUGAAGAUAACUUUGUUGCUGUUUGCUGUUUAGUCCCUAAGUCAUGUCCGACUCUUUGCCAUCCCAUCGACUGUAAUUCCUCUGUCCAUGGGAUUUUCCAGGCAAGAAUACAGAAGUGGGUUGCCAUUUCCUUUUUCAGGGAAUCCUCCUGACCCAGGGAUCCAACCUGCAUCUCGUCUCCUGCAUUGGCAGGCGGAUUCUUUACCACUGGGCCACUGGGGAAGCCCUAAGAUAGCUGAGCUGUCAUCAGAAGAAAAGCUUGGGAGAUGGUCCUGGCUCAGGAUCUGUGGGCAUUCUCUGGUCUUCUCCACACUGGAGACAGUCGCUAAAGAGCCCCAGCCCACCAUCUGGCUCCCCAAGUUUUAUCUGGGGCAUCAGAAAAGAUAGGAGAUGAGGGCGGGGGGGGUGGUGGGCAGAAAGAUAACUGAGGUUGGGCCUUCUGCUUCCCAUCCUCUGCCUCAAACUGCGGGUGGUUACUGCACUUUGGGUGAAUGUCGGGACUGGGAGGACCUCGGGACCCAGAGGGAGGGGCCACUGGUCCAGCGCGAGCUGGGAUCAGAUGUCCAGCUUCCUGCCCGGGGCUCGCCCUGCUCUCUCCGGGGCCCCACGUUGGUGUUGGCAGGGAACAGGGAGGUGUUCUGGGGAGUGAGGGGUUUUCUGGGGUGGGAGGAAGGGAGGUGGGGGUGGUGCGCCUGGGCCCAGCCUCCCCGCCUCCGGCCGGGGCUGUCUCCUGAGCAGAGAGGUCUGGCCCGGGCUGGGGAGGGGGCCCGGGUGCGGUUUUCGCCUGUGUCGCGGUUGGCUCUUUUGUCUUCCAGGCUGGGGCUGUGGGGGGUCUCCGUGGGGCAGGAGCUGGGAUCAGGACACUGUCUGCGCAGACGGGGACCGAGCGCCUUCUCCCGGAUAAGCGGAGGAUUCGGAGGCCAACGUGAGAUGUGGUCCUGCCCUCUCAGAUCUUCGUGCGGCGCUGCCCCGGCUGCGUCUCUAGGACUCCUGGCCCGCUGUCCUCCUGGAGCCCACGGGAGCCUGGACUCUGGCCGUGGUGACACUGGAGCAGUCUUCGCUGGUUUUCUGGAACCCUGGACAGCUCCCCGAAGAUCUCAUCCUUCCUAACUUCUGAAGCCUCCCCUGGAUAAAGGCCCCUCCUGGUUGGUGCUCGGCUGAGGACAGGACCCGGCUCUGGCGGAGCGUGAGGGAGGCUGGCAGCCCGCUGUCCAUCCCCUCUGCAUCUGCCUGGACCUGCCUGCCUGUCCCACACCCGUCCAGGACUGGGGGCCUUUUCUGAGCCCGAGGACCUCACUGCUCCUCCCAUCCCCGCUGGUGACCAGGUGGAUCUUGGCCUGGGCCCAGGCCCCACUGACCACACCUUCCCUGAGGCUGGGUCUCACAGGACCUACAGGACAGGGGCAGGGACCUGCCGGUGGGCCGUCAGGGACGAGCUGCCCGCAGGCUGGAGGGUGGACGCGGCUCGGGAGUCAGUGGGCUGGGGCCUGUUUUGUGCCCUUUGCGUGUGAGUGAUUCUCAUUUCUUUGGGGGCUUCUGGGGUUCUUCUUCCUGGCUUCUCUCCCUGAGGGUCACCAGGAGGAGGCAGUCUAGGCCUCGGGGGGAGCUUGGGCCUUCCCCUAAUGCUGUGGAGCUCUGGGAGGGGUUAUCCUGAAAGGAGAGGGUUUCCAAGAGAGGAGAAGACCCUGGCCAGGGGGCUUGUGAGAAGGAGACAGACCCUGGGCCUGGCUCCUGACAUCCAAAGGGAACAGUCCGGAAUCAGCCUCACCCUAGCCCAGUCUCAGACCCCUGCUCCUGGUCGCCCCCAUCCCUGGGAAGCAGAGACGGGCAGGGCACGCUGCACACAAGUGCGGCUUCCCCAUCACCGGGCUGUGGGCUCACUCACACGCCCUCCCCUUCUCCAGUCGCCCCAAGGGGCCGGCCUCAGUGCUUGCAGGAGGGCGGCCAUGGCCUUCCAUGGAGAAGCUCAAGAGCCUGACGUCCUUUUCCUGGGGCAGGAAGGGGCGCUGCCAUAACAGAACUCCACCCCUGGAUGGCUGAACUGCAGAAAUGUAUUUUCUUAUAGUUCUGGAGGCUGGAAGUCCAAGACCAAGGUGGCAGGGAUGGUUUGUGGUGAGGCCUACCUCCUUGGCCGGCAGAUAGAACCUUCUUGCUGUGUUCUCACAUGGCCUUCUCUCUGCGCAUAUGCAGAGAGAGAGAGAGUGUGAGAGAGAGAGGAGAGAAAUAGAUAUCAGACAUCUCUUCCUUUUCCUGUAAGGGCACUGGUCCUAUGGGGUUAGGGCCUCAUCCCUGUGACCUCAUUUAGCCUUAAUUACCUAAGCCAAAGCCCUUCCUCCAAAUAGAGUCACAUCAGGGCUGUGAAUAUGGAGGGAGAUGCAAUUCAGUCCAUAGCAGGUGGUCACCACAAACCUGGAAGCUGGCGCCAUCUCCCCUUUAGAAUUCCCACCCCCGAUGGGGACGGGAAGGAGAAGCAGAGGCAUGGGAAGCAGAAACAGUGUGGCAGGUCCUGUGCGAGGGUGGCCCUGGGAGCCUUGGAGAGACACGCAACUGGCCGAACCCAGAGCAGUGAAGAUGAGCCCCCCUGGGGAGAAAAGGGUCCUGUGAAGAACUUGGGCUUUGGAGCCUGAGGGCUACGCUCUGAGGUGCAACCUUGGGCAAGUCACCUCACCCCUGUGAGUCCGAUUGCCACUCUGAAGCAGGAGCCAUCUGCUUCCCCGGGGACCGGGGCACAGGGAGAAGUCAGUGAGAUCUCACGACUGGCACAGCGCCUGACUCUUAGUAGGUGCUCAAUAAAUACUCCCGUCUGUCUGGGAGUUUGGAUUUAGGGCUUCUCUCUUUUGGGCACCCUGGACUGUAAACUCCGCAUCUUUGAUCCAGAGGCAUUUCUGACCAGUGCUUCCCCAACUGUAUCUUUUUGUUUGUUUUUGGCUGUGUGGGGUGGCAUGUUGGAUCUUUGUUCUUGGACCAGGGGUCGAACCUGUGCUCCUGGUGUUGAGAGUGCAGAGUCUUAACCCCUGGACUGUGAGGGAAGUCCUCCCCUCUUAUAUCUUUAAUAUCCCUCUCUAAUCAGAUCAAGGAUCUACUGCAUGGCAUGGCCUCCACAGUAGCUCUGAAUGCUUCCUGGGGAGUUUAAUAUCUACCCUUCUUAUCAGAAUUGAGCACCUACUGUGAGUCCUUCCCUGUGCUACUCAUUUGAGGGGGAUAUAAGUGCCGAUAUAGCCAUGAUUCAAGCCUGCAGGAUCUCACAGCCAUGUCAAGGGGGAGAAAACCAGUCCACCCAGAGAAUGAGAGGAUGGGGCAGAAAACAGUCUCCUGAGGCACAGGUUCUGAGGGCUUGGGUGGGUGGGAGACCCCAGAGUAGGCUGGAAAGGCUUCCCAGGGAGGCUGAACCAAUCAGGACCUUGGGAGGAUGAGAAAAAUGUGGCUUAGCUGGGAGUUUUCCAAGGGAAAUUAGGUAAGAGAUUCCCAAAGUAAGUUCUAAGAGAUGUCAUUGCUCUUUAAAAAAAAAAAAGAAAU